rnacentral:rRNA from 1 species
UAAGGAAUAUUGCUCAAUGGGAGAAAUCCUGAAGCAGCAACGCCGCGUGGAGGAUGAAGGGUCUAUGACUUGUAAACUCCUGUAAAGAAGGAAAAAAUUCCCAUUAGAUGGGAGAUGAUGGUACUUCUGGAGUAAGCCCCGGCUAACUCCGUGCCAGCAGCCGCGGUAAUACGGAGGGUGCGAGCGUUAUCCGGAUUUACUGGGUUUAAAGGGUGCGUAGGUGGGCUUAUAAGUCAGUGGUGAAAUCUCCGAGCUUAACUUGGAAACUGCCGUUGAUACUAUAGGUCUUGAAUUAUCUGGAGGUAAGCGGAAUGUGUCAUGUAGCGGUGAAAUGCUUAGAUAUGACAUAGAACACCAAUUGCGAAGGCAGCUUACUACAUAUAAAUUGACGCUGAGGCACGAAAGCGUGGGGAUCAAACA